UUGACAGAAGAGAGUGAGCACCCAUGGUGAUCUCUUGCAUGAAAAGUCUGCAUGCUCGAAUCCAUGUGUGCUCACGUCUCUUCCUGUCAA
rnacentral:pre_miRNA from 1 species